rnacentral:rRNA from 1 species
GAUGAACGCUGGCGGCGUGCCUAAUACAUGCAAGUCGAGCGAACGGACGAGAAGCUUGCUUUUCUGAUGUUAGCGGCGGACGGGUGAGUAACACGUGGAUAACCUACCUAUAAGACUGGGAUAACUUCGGGAAACCGGAGCUAAUACCGGAUAAUAUUUUGAACCGCAUGGUUCAAAAGUGAAAGACGGUCUUGCUGUCACUUAUAGAUGGAUCCGCGCUGCAUUAGCUAGUUGGUAAGGUAACGGCUUACCAAGGCAACGAUGCAUAGCCGACCUGAGAGGGUGAUCGGCGACACUGGAACUGAGACACGGUCCAGACUCCUACGGGAGGCAGCAGUAGGGAAUCUUCCGCAAUGGGCGAAAGCCUGACGGAGCAACGCCGCGUGAGUGAUGAAGGUCUUCGGAUCGUAAAACUCUGUUAUUAGGGAAGAACAUAUGUGUAAGUAACUGUGCACAUCUUGACGGUACCUAAUCAGAAAGCCACGGCUAACUACGUG